rnacentral:lncRNA from 1 species
GUCGGUGACGAGCAGAUGGACAUAUGGCAGGCUUCAAUAUUCUAUAAUAUUAUAGAAGCUAUCUAGUAGGCACUACUUCAUCAGAAAGCUGGAUAGAGACACUUCGUCACAUCAAGGCAAGCUACGAGAAAGUAAACAUCAUCUCACAGAAUUCUACUCGAACACCGCAUCGAAAUCAGACUUUGAUAAUGGCGUCUAAAACCCUGAUUGCUCUCUACUUUCUGAUUGCCUUGGCCGUGGCAGCAAGCGUUUUAGUCGAGCAAUAUGAGAUCGACAAUUCUAAUGGGGUGAAAUAUUCGUGGAACAGCCGAAAAUCUGAGGCAACAAAAUCUGGUAAAAUCGGUGGAAGGGCCCCGAGAAAACGACAUAUUUCUUAGUAAUAGCAGCAUCGAGAAGAUCGGAAAGCAUACCAGCUGGAUCUUGUCAGACGUCUUCUCUGUUUGUUGAGACUUUUGUCAAACUGAUGCGAGAACCAAAAAAAAAAUCAUCGGUGAUCAGUCAUCAUUGACCUUAACCCUAACCCCAACGAAUUCAUAACUUUGCCUCUAAAAUAUAAAAAUUGAAUAAAUAUAUAUAUAUAUAAUACAAUUUGAAUCUUGUUUCAAAAGUAAUGUAUCACUAUGCCUACAUGUAGCCCAUAUAUUUUUGUGUUGACGGUUAGUCAAUUCACUGGAAAUUGGAUUGUUUUGAUAUAAUGCAUUAAAGAGUACAGUCUUGUACAUGUGCUUCAUAAUUUAAGAAAAAACGUGCAGAGGAAACCAUUGAGGUGUAUACAUUAAUAUAAAUCGAUGAUCUAAACAGU